rnacentral:rRNA from 1 species
CUCAGAAACUUAAAGGAAUUGACGGGACCCGCACAAGCAGCGGAGCAUGUGGUUUAAUUCGAAGCAACGCGAAGAACCUUACCAGAUCUUGACAUCCAAUUGACCAUCUUUUAAUCGAGAUUUUGCCUUCGGGUACAAUUGAGACAGGUGGUGCAUGGUUGUCGUCAGCUCGUGUCGUGAGAUGUUGGGUUAAGUCCCGCAACGAGCGCAACCCUUGUGUUUAGUUGCAAACAGGUCAAGCUGUGCACUCUAGACAGACUGCCGUGGACAACACGGAGGAAGGUGGGGAUGACGUCAAAUCAUCAUGCCCCUUAUGAUCUGGGCUACACACGUGCUACAAUGGCCGGUACAACGGGCAGCGAAGGAGCGAUCCGGAGCGAAUCCUAAAAAGCCGGUCCCAGUUCGGAUUGCAGGCUGAAACUCGCCUACAUGAAGUUGGAGUUGCUAGUAAUCGCGAAUCAGAAUGUCGCGGUGAAUGCGUUCCCGGGUCUU